AACGAACGCUGGCGGCAGGCUUAACACAUGCAAGUCGAGCGCCCCGCAAGGGGAGCGGCAGACGGGUGAGUAACGCGUGGGAACGUACCUUUUGGUUCGGAACAACUCCGGGAAACUGGAGCUAAUACCGGAUAAGCCCUAACGGGGAAAGAUUUAUCGCCGAAAGAUCGGCCCGCGUCUGAUUAGCUAGUCGGUGAGGUAACGGCUCACCAAGGCGACGAUCAGUAGCUGGUCUGAGAGGAUGAUCAGCCACACUGGGACUGAGACACGGCCCAGACUCCUACGAGAGGCAGCAGUGGGGAAUAUUGGACAAUGGGCGCAAGCCUGAUCCAGCCAUGCCGCGUGAGUGAUGAAGGCCUUAGGGUUGUAAAGCUCUUUUGUCCGGGAAGAUAAUGACUGUACCGGAAGAAUAAGCCCCGGCUAACUUCGUG
rnacentral:rRNA from 1 species